rnacentral:miRNA from 1 species
CGAUGUACGCCCUUUCGCAGU